UACAGAGGGGGCAAGCGUUGUUCGGAAUUACUGGGCGUAAAGGGCGCGUAGGCGGCCUGUUAAGUCGAACGUGAAAUCCCCGGGCUCAACCCGGGAACUGCGUCCGAUACUGGCAGGCUCGAAUCCGGGAGAGGGAUGUGGAAUUCCAGGUGUAGCGGUGAAAUGCGUAGAUAUCGGGAGGAACACCAGUGGCGAAGGCGACUGCCUGGCCUGUUCUUGACGCUGAGGCGCGAAAGCUAGGGUAGCAAACGGG
rnacentral:rRNA from 1 species